UACAGAGGGUGCAAACGUUGCUCGGAAUCAUUGGGCGUAAAGCGCACGUAGGCGGCCCAGCAAGUGGGGAGUGAAAUCCCUCGGCUUAACCGGGGAACUGCGUUUGAUACUGGAUGGCUUGAGUUUGGGAGAGGGAUGCGGAAUUCCAGGUGUAGCGGUGAAAUGCGUAGAUAUCUGGAGGAACACCCGUGGCGAAAGCGGCGCGCUGGACCACUACUGACGCUGAGGAACGAAAGCUAGGGGAGCAAACAGG
rnacentral:rRNA from 1 species